GGCCUGGCUGGCCGGUCCGCCUCACCGCGUGUACUGGUCUGGCCGGGCCUUUCCUUCUGGAGAACCUCAUGCCCUUCAUUGGGUGUGUUGGGGAACCAGGACUUUUACUUUGAAAAAAUUAGAGUGUUCAAAGCAGGCCUAUGCCCGAAUACAUUAGCAUGGAAUAACGAAAUAGGACGU
rnacentral:rRNA from 1 species